CAGUUUUUACAAGUCUUUCAUUUUUAGAUGAAAUAAUAUAAUAUAAUGUCAGCUACCGGCAAGAUUUCUUCUCGUGCAAGUAAUGGCUGAUGAACGUCUGAGAAAGCCAAGAAAAAAAGCCAAUGCAAGGAUUCAUGAGUUGGAAUCUCCAUUCCCUAUACCAAUAGAGAGCAUCACUGGUAAAGCUGCUAGUAACUUAAGAUGGUAUUAUUAUUUUGGUACAGUACAUGCUGAUCAUGUGGAGGUGUACAAGAUGGGCGACAUUACUUUUUUAUAUCGACUUGGAUUUUUCGGAAAAGGUAUUCUAUCCAAAAGCCGACCUCAGUACGAGAAAUAUAACAGCAUACUUUCUGAACAUACAAGAAGACAGUACAAUGGAAAAAAGUCAAGCUGGGAUCCAGAGGAGAGAGAAUUCAAAAUAGAAGCUUUCACAAAAAUACAGAAUGAAAGACUUCGACACCGUGCAUCUUGGAAUGAAGAGAGAAAAGAAGAGAUCCCAACUGAAAAGGUAUCGUCAUAUGUGACAGACCUCCCUCAGUGUGAAGAUUUCGAAACUGGUGUUGAUGAUGGUGCAUACGAGAGUUUAUCAACCGACGGUGAAGAAGAUGAAAAUACAAGUGAAGAUGAAAGAGAGGGCGUGGUCACGCAGCAAGAAAAUCACAACACUGUAAAUGAAAGUGUUUCAGAAGGAUUGAAGCGACCGCUCUCCUCACCACAGGGAGAAGCUAGCAGCAAACUUCAGAAAUUGGACGAUUGCUACAAAUUAUUUGAACAUUUGCAGCUAACUUUUGAGGAGGCUUUCUUUCUUUCAUAUGGUCUUGGUUGUCUGUCCGUGAAAAAUGAGCAGCAUACCAUGACACUAACAGAAAUGUGGCAACUAUUUUCAAGGAACAAAAAGAAUUUCGUUCAGAUGUACGUGGCUUACCAUCAUUUCCGAAGUAAAGGUUGGGUGGUUCGCUUUGGUAAUUUAUACGGCGCCGAUUUUCGUGAUUCUGUACCAAGGGGGAAUGCCAUUUUUUCAUGCAAGUUAUUCUGUCUUUGUUUCCAUGGUAGCCGAGACUACUCUCACACCAGUCGACCAAUCAGGUCUCAGUUGGAGAGACAUUAGCUCAAUAUGUCGUGUAAAUGAAAAAGUCGCUAAGGAAGUUUUGUUUUGUCACGUGGUGCAGCCUAAAGAUUUGUCGAAAGAAGACUUACAGCUGCCGAGCUGUGUUAAACGUUUUAGUGUUGUGGAAGUCGUGUCGCGAAGAUGGGUGGCGGAGAAGCAUCGUGAAAUAAAGUAGUGAACCCGGUCGCAGAAGUUACUAUUUUCGAAAUUUUAAAAAUUCUGCUUGUGUAUAUUCCUUUCUAUUUUAAGAAAUAUUUUAACCUUGUUUUCA